rnacentral:lncRNA from 1 species
GAUCAAGUAGGGGCGACUUGACAAGAACGACCAACUGUGGCAGCGGAUGGGCGCGCGACAAAGUCAUGGGCGACGAGCUGUGGCGAUGGCAUUGAGAGGAGCAGUGUCAAAGGCCAAGGUUGGGCGCAAUGCCAGCUUUAGGCGUGCAGCAGCUGGCCAACGCGCACAUGCAGCGCACAUGGAGCGGUUUUCAAGUGUGU